CUGUAUUGAUUCCUUUGCUAAGGAUUUAUUUGUCUUAGCAAAGGAAUCAAUACAGCACG
ensembl:miRNA